AGUGAACGCUGGCGGUAGGCCUAACACAUGCAAGUCGAACGGCAGCACAGUAAGAGCUUGCUCUUACGGGUGGCGAGUGGCGGACGGGUGAGGAAUACAUCGGAAUCUACUUUUUCGUGGGGGAUAACGUAGGGAAACUUACGCUAAUACCGCAUACGACCUACGGGUGAAAGCAGGGGAUCUUCGGACCUUGCGCGAUUGAAUGAGCCGAUGUCGGAUUAGCUAGUUGGCGGGGUAAAGGCCCACCAAGGCGACGAUCCGUAGCUGGUCUGAGAGGAUGAUCGGCCACACUGGAACUGGGACACGGUCCAGACGCCUACGGGAGGCAGCAGUGGGGAAUAUUGGACAAUGGGCGCAAGCCUGAUCCAGCCAUACCGCGUGGGUGAAGAAGGCCUUCGGGUUGUAAAGCCCUUUUGUUGGGAAAGAAAAGCAGCAGGUUAAUACCCCGCUGUUCUGACGGUACCCAAAGAAUAAGCACCGGCUAACUUCGUG
rnacentral:rRNA from 1 species